GAUGAACGCUGGCGGCGUGCCUAACACAUACAAGUCGAGCGAUUUACUUCGGUAAAGAGCGGCGGACGGGUGAGUAACGCGUGGGUAACCUGCCCUGUACACACGGAUAACAUACCGAAAGGUAUGCUAAUACGAGAUAAUAUACUUUUAUCGCAUGGUAGAAGUAUCAAAGCAUUUGCGGUACAGGAUGGACCCGCGUCUGAUUAGCUAGUUGGUAAGGUAACGGCUUACCAAGGCGACGAUCAGUAGCCGACCUGAGAGGGUGAUCGGCCACAUUGGAACUGAGACACGGUCCAAACUCCUACGGGAGGCAGCAGUGGGGAAUAUUGCACAAUGGGCGAAAGCCUGAUGCAGCAACGCCGCGUGAGCGAUGAAGGCCUUCGGGUCGUAAAGCUCUGUCCUCAAGGAAGAUAAUGACGGUACUUGAGGAGGAAGCCCCGGCUAACUACGUGCCAGCCGCCGCAGUAA
rnacentral:rRNA from 1 species